rnacentral:rRNA from 1 species
GAUGAACGCUAGCGGCAGGCUUAAUACAUGCAAGUCGAGGGACAGCACAGGUAGCAAUACUGGGUGGUAACCGGCAAACGGGUGCGGAACACGUACACAACCUUCCUUUAAGUGGGGGAUAGCCCUGAGAAAUUUGGAUUAAUACCCCGUAAUAUAGUUGAAUGGCAUCAUUUGAUUAUUAUAGCUACGGCGCUUAAUGAUGGGUGUGCGGCUGAUUAGAUAGUUGGCGGGGUAACGGCCCACCAAGUCUACGAUCAGUAGCUGAUGUGAGAGCAUGAUCAGCCACACGGGCACUGAGACACGGGCCCGACUCCUACGGGAGGCAGCAGUAAGGAAUAUUGGUCAAUGGACGCAAGUCUGAACCAGCCAUGCCGCGUGAAGGAUUAAGGUCCUCUGGAUUGUAAACUUCUUUUAUUUGGGACGAAAAAGGGCCUUUCUAGGUCAACUGACGGUACCAGAUGAAUAAGCACCGGCUAACUACGUGCCAGCAGCCGCCGUAACAC